rnacentral:rRNA from 1 species
AAAGCUCCCAAACCCCUGUGAACAUACCUUUAUGUUGCCUCGGCGGAUCAGCCCGCGCCCCGUAAAACGGGACGGCCCGCCGCAGGAACCACAAAACUCUGAUUUUAGUGUAACUUCUGAGUCUAAAAAACAAAUAAAUCAAAACUUUCAACAACGGAUCUCUUGGUUCUGGCAUCGAUGAAGAACGCAGCAAAAUGCGAUAAGUAAUGUGAAUUGCAGAAUUCAGUGAAUCAUCGAAUCUUUGAACGCACAUUGCGCCCGCCAGUAUUCUGGCGGGCAUGCCUGUUCGAGCGUCAUUUCAACCCUCAAGCCCCCGGGUUUGGGUUGCGGGAUCGGGCUGUACUCCAGCCCGGCCCCGAAAUCUAGUGGCGGUCUCGCUGCAGCCUCCAUUGCGUAGUAGCUAACACCUCGCAACUGGAACGCGGCGCGGCCAAGCCGUUAAACCCCCAACUUCUGAAUGUUGACCUCGGAUCAGGUAGGAAUACCCGCUGAACUUAAGCAUAUCAAUAAGGCCGGAGGAGAUAUCAUUACCGGAGUAACACUCCCAAAACCGUGUGAACACACUUUAUGUUGCCCCAGCGG